UAGGGAAUAUUGGACAAUGGAGGAAACUCUGAUCCAGCCAUGCCGCGUGAUAGAUGAAGGCCCUCUGGGUUGUAAAUAUCUUUUAUCUGGGAAGAAACAAUCUUAUUCUUAAGAUCUUGACGGUACCAGAGGAAUAAGCACCGGCUAACUCCGUGCCAGCAGCCGCGGUAAUACGGAGGGUGCAAGCGUUAUCCGGAUUCACUGGGUUUAAAGGGUGCGUAGGCGGGCUGAUAAGUCAGUGGUGAAAGCUCCGAGCUUAACUUGGAAACUGCCAUUGAUACUGCCAGUCUUGAAUGUCGUAGAGGUAAGCGGAAUGUUGCAUGUAGCGGUGAAAUGCUUAGAUAUGUUACAGAACACCAAUUGCGAAGGCAGCUUACUAUGCGAUGAUUGACGCUGAGGCACGAAAGCGUGGGGAGCAAACAGG
rnacentral:rRNA from 2 species